AAAAUCCGUCGACUUUAGAAAUCGUGAGGGUUCA
rnacentral:tRNA from 6 species